rnacentral:rRNA from 1 species
AGCAGCCGCGGUAAUUCCAGCUCCAAUAGCGUAUAUUAAAGUUGUUGCAGUUAAAAAGCUCGUAGUUGAAUUUCGGGGUUAGUAGAUUGGUCAUGCCUCUGGUAUGCACUGGUCUUACUGAUUCCUCCUUCCUGAUGAACCGUAAUGCCAUUAAUUUGGUGUUGCGGGGAAACUGGGCUGUUACUUUGAAAAAUUAGAGUGUUUAAAGCAGGCUAACGCUUGAAUACAUUAGCAUGGAAUAAUGAAAUAGGACGUUCGAUCUUAUUUUGUUGGUUUCUAGGAUUGACGUAAUGAUUAAUAGGGAUAGUUGGGGGCAUUAGUAUUCAAUUGUCAGAGGUGAAAUUCUUGGAUUUAUUGAAGACUAACUACUGCGAAAGCAUUUGCCAAGGAUGUUUUCAUUAAUCAAGAACGAAAGUUAGGGGAUCGAAGACGAUCAGAUACCGUCGUAGUCUUAACCAUAAACUAUGCCGACUAGGGAUCGGAUGAUGUUAAUUUUUAAUGACUCAUUCGGCGCCUUACG